CCUUUGGCUCAGUCGGUGCAGCAUGAGACUCUUAAUCUCAGAGUCAUGGGUUCGAGCCCCACGUUGGGGA